GCCGGGUGUGGUGACUCACACCUGUAAUCCCAGCACUUUGGGAGGUCGAGGUGGGCGGAUCACCUGAGGUCAGGAGUUCAAGACCAGCCUGACCAACAUGGUGAAAUCCCAUCUCUA
rnacentral:SRP_RNA from 1 species